GUGUAGUCGGUGGAAGAUAUGCCAGAUGUGAAGUGUCUUGUGGCUGCUNUUCGAAUCGGCCGUGAGUCCUUUGAAAUGUACAGAACGGACUCUCUUUGUUCAAAAAGCGCGGCGUUGCUGGUUGUGAAGGCUGUCAGUGUGAUUAAUCGGCGACCGGUUUGUCUGCUAUGGCAUCAAUGAAGGAGUGUUCAAUUCGCGGUAUGGUUGGCUUUGGCUAAACAGGCGCUUAUGGAACGUUCUUUCUGCUAUGACAGUAUGAACUGGUGAACCGUAGUCGUACAUGACUUGGCGUUUGAAUCGGCUAUGCUGUGCGAAGUAGAGUGACAGUUUUGGCUGUCGAGGGUCGAUCAAUUUGGGAAAUUGUGCUGUGUGAUUUCGGUCGCGUGGCAUCUCAAUUGGACCUGAUAUCAGGCAAGAUUACCCGCUGAACUUAAGCAUAUCAAUAAGCGGAGGA
rnacentral:rRNA from 1 species